UACGUAGGCAGCGAGCGUUGUUCGGAUUUACUGGGCGUAAAGGGUGUGUAGGCGGUUGGUUAAGUGGGGUGUGAAAUCUCCCGGCUUAACUGGGAGGGUGCGCUACAAACUGUCUGACUAGAGUGUGGGAUGGGUAAGUGGAAUUCCUGGUGUAGCGGUGAAAUGCGUAGAUAUCAGGAGGAACACCGGUGGUGUAGACGGCUUACUGGACCAUAACUGACGCUGAGACACGAAAGCGUGGGUAGCAAACAGG
rnacentral:rRNA from 1 species